rnacentral:rRNA from 1 species
GCAAAGACGUGUGAAUAGUCGGGGUGAGACGGGGGGGCCGAGCGUUGGCGGGAUUUAUUGGGAGUAAAGGGGUCGUGGGCGGGUGGUUAAGGGAUGGGUGAAAUCUCCACGCUCAACGGGGAGGAGCCACCUGGUGAUGACGGGACUUGAGGCCGGUAGGGGGGUGUGGAAUGCCCGGUGUAGCGGUGAAAUGCGCAGAUAGCGGGAGGAACACCAGUAGCGAAGGCGGCACUCUGGGCCGGUACUGACGCUGAGGAGCGAAAGCGUGGGGAGCAAACAGGAUUAGAUGCCCUAGUAGUC